rnacentral:lncRNA from 1 species
AUGACUUUACUUUUCAAGAUUCAUCGAAGACUUCAAGGUUCUUCCAUCAACCCACCAGGCCUCAAUUUUUCUUCAAUCCGGCUUUUCGACGAGCACGGUCAAGAAAUUAAGAAUCCACUUUCGCUGAAGAAUGAGCAAAAAAUUUGGGUCUCGUAUGGUAAAGCAUACAGAUCUCCACUAAACCCUGUUUUGGGUUUGACCUUUGACCAGGUGACUGCAUUUGCCAGAGGUGGCAUUACAGUCGCAUAUAAAACCUUCUUGGAUCCUAAUGCUGUUCUGCUACUGGGAUGUGACAGUUGGGAAGUUUGUGAGGGAUUUCCAAUUAAUUUCAAUGGCACCAGCCAACAGAUACCUGAUCAAUUUGAAAAGGUGGACUUGGAGAACCAUUUCCUACAGAACAAGGUGAACCCCGAUAUUGUCCUUCAUGCCUCUGUUACCAUCAGAAAGCGGAAUUUCUCAAGUGGUGAAGAGAGCAGUGGGACUCAGAUAGCACCAUCCACCCUGUGGCCUGCAGCCAGUGUGUGGCUGAUCACAAAGACUGGAAUGAUCCUGAGCCGAGCGAUAACUCAGGGCUGCCUAGCUACUGGUCAUCCAGUCAGAGUCAAGGCCACUGAGGGAGCAUCACUAGAAGGAUACAAAUUAAUCCUACAGAAAAGACAUAAAGGAGAUGAUUCUCAGAAGUGGGUGUUUGGAACUGAUGGUUGCAUUUAUUCUAAGGCUUAUCCUCAGUUUGUCCUGACCUACCUAGAGGAGCUAAACGCACAUGACGUGACCCAGACAGAGUAUCACCUUCACCAUGUUGCCUGGACCACAGCUCAUCAGGAACAUGGCAGCAGCUUGGCAGAAGAGGUUCUGCAAAAAAGUGCCAGUAUCCCUGGUCUGAAGCAGCUGCCAGAGCCUUCAGAGACCCACUUAAUGCCAGAAGGUUCUCUUGGGGAGACAGGGGAGCUGACAGUGGCUCUGGUGAAGAAACUGGAAGAGAAACAUCCUAAGGCUUCUGCUCAGAGGAGUUUGAUUGGCCAAUAGAAGGGCUGCUUCUUCCAAACGGUCCUCCCAUGAAGAAACCCAUCUCUAAGACACUGGAGCAAUAUGUCCCUGUGAGACUCAGAGUUUUGCGGAAUGGAGACAAGAACAAAACCAGAGCCCUUAUUAUAAUCAGUCCAGACAUCUCACCUAGGCGGAAAAUGCAGUAAGAACAACUUUUUCAUAUUUCGCAUCAAGCAUACUUUCUAAUUUCUACAGAUUUUU